rnacentral:rRNA from 1 species
AUUGAACGCUGGCGGCAUGCCUUACACAUGCAAGUCGAACGGCAGCACGGGUGCUUGCACCUGGUGGCGAGUGGCGAACGGGUGAGUAAUACAUCGGAACGUACCUUAUCGUGGGGGAUAGCGCAGCGAAAGCUGUGCUAAUACCGCAUACGCCCUGAGGGGGAAAGCGGGGGAUCGCAAGACCUCGCGCGAUUAGAGCGGCCGAUGCCUGAUUAGCUUGUUGGUGGGGUAAAAGCCCACCAAGGCGACGAUCAGUAGCUGGUCUGAGAGGACGAUCAGCCACACUGGGACUGAGACACGGCGCAGACGGCUAGGGGAGGCAGCAGUGGGGAAUUUUGGACAAUGGGGGCAACCCUGAUCCAGCAAUGCCGCGUGAGUGAAGAAGGCCUUGGGGUUGUAAAGCUCUUUUGUCAGGGAAGAAACACCGGCUUUAACACAGUCGGGGAAUGACGGUACCUGAAGAAUAAGCACCGGCUAACUACGUGCCAGCAGCCGCCGUAA